CCUACGGGAGGCAGCAGUGAGGAAUAUUGGUCAAUGGCCGAGAGGCUGAACCAGCCAAGUCGCGUGAGGGAAGACGGCCCUACGGGUUGUAAACCUCUUUUGUCGGGGAGCAAAGCGAGUCACGUGUGACUCAUUGAGAGUACCCGAAGAAAAAGCAUCGGCUAACUCCGUGCCAGCAGCCGCGGUAGUACGGAGGAUGCGAGCGUUAUCCGGAUUUAUUGGGUUUAAAGGGUGCGCAGGCGGAGGUGCAAGUCAGCGGUCAAAUUGCGGGGCUCAACCCCGUACUGCCGUUGAAACUGCAGCCCUUGAGUGCGCGAGAAGUAUGCGGAAUGCGUGGUGUAGCGGUGAAAUGCAUAGAUAUCACGCAGAACUCCGAUUGCGAAGGCAGUAUACCGGCGCGCAACUGACGCUCAUGCACGAAAGCGUGGGUAUCGAACAGGAUUAGAUACCCUUGUAGUC
rnacentral:rRNA from 1 species